rnacentral:misc_RNA from 1 species
AAGUCGUAACAAGGUUUCCGUAGGUGAACCUGCGGAAGGAUCAUUAUUGAAUGUUGCUUGAUGGGUUGUAGCUGGCCCUUCGGGGCAUGUGCACGCCUGUCUUGACUACUAUUCAUCCACCUGUGCACACUUUGUAGUCUUUCGGGUCUGGGAAGCGGCUGACAUUGUCAGUCGUGCUGAACCUCCCUCGGGGACUAUGUCUUUAUUCAUACACCAUGUAGUAUGUUGCAGAAUGUAAUCAAUGGGCCUUUGUGCCUAUAAAACCUUAUACAA